AUUGACAGCAAGUCCGGAGAGAGUAGCUGGGUGGAGAUAUCGCCACGUCUCAAGUCUCGGGGGCGAAUUCAGGAGCUUUGGUCGCGUUGAAGGGUCUCGCGCGAGGUGUUGCCGUGUAUGGUGGGUGCUCGGCUGGUCGGGAACUCGCCGCCGUCGUGGGAUCUCCGUGUCCGGCCACUGCGGGUCGUGCCGGCUCACCCACCAUCUCCUCGGUCGUCGACGAGCCAGUGACCAAGGAUCUAGGUGUUUAGCAGGUUUGCUGAGCAGGAGCUCAUUGAAGGAGAAGAAAAGGUGGUCCAGGAGGAGCCAUACAAUAAGGAGUACGAGUUGAUCUAGGUGGCGUCUCCUAGUCAGCUUUGUGGCGCUAAAGAAUAAUACUUAGUUCGCUUUAUUAUUAUCAUUUAUUUUUAUAAGACUUCCGCUAUGUAAUAAUGACAUUUAUGAUAUUGUGACAAUCAUCUCUAUACACUUUGUCAUUAUAUGUGAUGUUCUUUUUUUGGCGCA